GUCAGAUUACUUCCGGUAUCAGCCUGUGAUGAAACUGUUAAUAGCUCCUGACUUAUUCCUCUUCUGCAAGAUCAGACUAAUAGUGCUUGAAAACGCCAUAAUUGAGAAGGGAAGGGAAUGAGGGGAUAAAUAAUAACAUAUUAGUAUAUAAUACGAAAAUGAAGUAUAUCAAAAGUACUUGAGGACAUAAUAUAUCCUAAAUAGAAUGCAUAUUUGCUAAAUACUUCUUAAUUUAAAAUUAAUAAAC